AAUAUGUACAGUAUGUAGUACUUGAUAAUGAAUGACUGUUACUGGCUUGUGUAGUAUUUACUCUUCUUUUUAUAGAAUAUGCUCCUAUUUUUUUUUAAGUUAGCUAUAGAACAGCCUUAGGCAGGUCCUUCAGGAAUAUUCCAGAAGAAAUUGUUACUAUAGGAGAUAACAGCUUCGUGUGCAUUCUCCUUGGAGACCUUCCAGUGGUACAGAAUGUGGCAAUAGAAGCCAAUCUCUCUCGGUGAUCUUGACUCUUUGGCCUGAGUCUAUGGUGUCGUGAAGUUCUGGGCCUGUACAUCCACUCACCCCGCUCUCUCCUUCUCGAAGAGCAACUGAAGUCCUGCAGGCUCAUCCACGGAGCUGAAAAUUGAUGUCUAUAUGGUUACCUGCACAUGGAUGUUUAUAGCAACUAUUGAGAAAUGUCACAACUUGAAAGCAGCCAAGAUGUCCUUCAAUAGACUCUUCAAGUUCCUGUAUGUAGCACACAUCAUUCUUGCAGGAGUGGUGUAUCACUAUUUCCAGAUGUCUGUGGGGAAAAUAGCCCCUGAGAUUGUGGCGGAGUCAUCACAGCCCAUAGGGAAGACCUUAAGGCCUGUGUGGGGGAUGAUGAUGGAUAAAUGCUACCCUGAAACCACUCAGGACAUAAGCCCCAGACCAACAGGAAGACAGAAUGAUUCUGCCCCCAAGGAGGAGACCAACACCUUGCCUCAGGAGGAAGGGCAGGAAAAGCAAAAGGUCCAACAGGAAGUUGCUGAAUAUCCAUCUGGGGCUUCUGUGAUAGCAAGGAGGAAAGGCUAUGGGGCUGGGCCCCUCAGCUCCUGCGAAAGGAAAGUUCUGGGAGGGCUGGUUUCCUGCCCCUGACACUCCCAAGAUGCAGAGCCUUGAAUGAGAAGGGAUCUAAUAAACCCUGGAGUUCCUGCCUCUACUGGUCCAGUGCCUCCUUUCAGGGGCCCCACAGCUGCUCAAACAAGCCCCAUCUGCCUGCAUCUGCACAUUCUCGACAGCUCCAGGGACACUGCUUCCUGCCCAGACUUGUCCCCCUAGUGGACACUCUGCAAGUGGCCCGUGUAGGACCUGGCAACUCUCUGACUCAGUGCCAGGUACCAGGCCAUGGCCUAGCAUGCUGCAAGCUGGGGAGCUCCCUGUCCCAAGGGCACUUACUAAAGUGGUUAUGGAGACCCUAGUUGAGAUGCUGCAGGGUUCUUGGGAGAAGAGGCCUUGGGUCGCUUCUGCUCUGUCUGGAGUUCCCUGUCCCAGGCUGUCUCAUGAACAGGGAAGCAGAUGGUACUUACUCAGCCUUGGGUGCUGUCUCCAUGGCAGAACAUGCCAUGAGGGAUGGGGACAGAGAUGAAAGAAACUGGUUCUUGCCCUAAGUUGGGUGGACUCCAGGACAACAAGGGUCGUAGGCCCAGAAGUCAGAGGAGGAAGACAGGCAUUGACAACCAUCUGGUGCAAACUCCUCAGUGGCAAAAGGGCAGCAGAAGCCCAGGGUGGAAGGGAGGGCCCCAGAGUUUGUGCAGUGUAAUGGCACAGCGAGGUCUAGAAGCAGGGUCUCUAUCUCUCUGCAGCCCACCUUACCUACUUCUCUGCCUCCCUCGUAGUCACACGGGUUGCACCCUCUCCCUAGGCCCCCACAGGCUCAUCCCCUAAUCUGACCUGGCCACUUAGAAGGUGGAGCCCUGGCCUGCAGCCCCAAGUGUCCUCUAACUCUAGCCAGGCCUGAGAAGCAACUCUACACUACAAGGGGCCUGGACAUCCACAUCUCUGAGGGGCCAGGAACUAAGACCAAUCUUGUCUUCUAGUGACACAGGGAGGUGGCUCACUCCUGGGCUCCCUCCAGGCCUUCCCAUGAAACUUCUGACAGAGCCCUGGUGUCAAUCCCUGCCUUCCUGAUUUCUCCACCUCUCUGGGGUGUCAUAUAAGAAGUUAGAUUACAGAUCUGAUGCCUGGCUGAGCACUGGCACCUGGUGUGUUGUAGGUGCAGUUGGAGCUGAAACCAGGGCCUCCAGCUGGAGUCCUCCUAUUCCCCACCCACCCAGACACCACUGACCCCUCUUGGCAGCCAUUCUGAGCC
rnacentral:lncRNA from 1 species